AAGACUUCACAAUGGUCUGAUAACCACGUGCAGGAUGCUGAUUUGAGCCUCUUCCAAUUCUCUAGUAACCUCAACUGGGCCAAGCAGGGCUCAAUAUACCUCUUCACCAGUGGCACGGUUUCUGAUCGAGUUUGGUGUCAUC
rfam:Vicugna pacos cont1.305997, whole genome shotgun sequence.